AACUAAAAAUUUAAUCAACUUGUACUAUUAAAAAUUGACGUGAUUGAUGAAAUAAUCAAAAAAUGACACAUGGCAUUCCACGUGUGCCUCAUGUUGACGUAUAAAGAUUAAUUUUUAAUAGUAGAAAUGAAUGUAAAUUUUAACA
rfam:Gossypium arboreum cultivar AKA8401 contig_8430_11, whole genome shotgun sequence.